UAGGUUUUCUCCAGCCGGUAAGCUAUUUUUGUGUGAAAUAUUUGCGAGGUUUCGGGUUAAUUUUCUCGUGUAUUGUGUUUUAAAAUUUUGUUGUUAACCAAGUCACUUUGUGUAUAGGUUUUAGGUUAAGUUAUUGCUAUUUCAGUGCAGAGGGGAUUUAAGAAGCUAUCUGGGCCAUAUCAGGCAGUACUCUAAGCGUUUCAGUAGGUGCUCGGCGUGGGAAUCAAAACACGUGAGACCGCACUGUACAUGGGUGUUCCACGUGGUGGACUUGGCAAUUAUUUUGUGGGCCUAGUGUUGCCAUUAGUGUAGUCAGCGUUAUACCCAGUAUCGUUGUUCAGUGAGAGACCUGUGAGUCCGGGACUGGAAGCGGAGGGGCUAUUCGCGCUGUAUGGAAGCCUGGUUGUGCCAAGUGUGACGUGGCGUUAAAUUUAAUUGUGCUGAGUAGCCAAACUUUCAUAUUGAGUUUCAGUAAAUUAAACAUUUUAUCAAAAAGGAAUUUGAGAAAUUUGUACAAAACGUAAUUUACUACUGCUUAACCUUUUCUGUAGUUAGCGGAAUUAGCUACUAUUUGAACCAUUAUGUAAUACAUUUAUUACCAGUUAUAUUUUCAGCCUGGAAUGACAUAUUUGUUGUAUUAACUAUUGGAUUGUCUUGACAGUUAUACGUUAUAUUGAUUGUCAAUAUUGCCAGGUUUAUUAUACCAAUUUAUAUUUUCUUUCUCGGUGAGAGAGUAUGGGUGUGUGAAUGUGAAAGUGUGAUUUCUUUGUUUUUCAAACAUCUCUAUAUUUCUUAUCUUAUUGCAAAAUAAAUUUUCUUUUUAUUUAUUCUACGAUUUAUCAUUUUCUCUAUUGCCUACACAAAAUCCAAAAGAACUUCAUUACACAUAAAGUUUAAUGUUUAAAAAAAGGUGACCAUAAUUGCCCCAAAAAAAAGUUUUCUAAGCCAUUAUUACCUUUCUCAAAUGUCAUAAAUAUUGAAAUAUUUUAUCUUUGAUGAUUUAUAAGCUAGCCUCUAGAGUUAAAUUAUUCUCUCAGUCAUAAAUGCACACUUCAUGCUGCCAAAGUUUACAAUUAAUAUACACUUAAAGGUCUUACACAAGGAAAUAGCCAAUCAAAAUGAUUUAGUCAAUUGUAGUUCUAUAUGUAAUGGUUUGGGCCGUGGAUAUCGGCCUGGAUAGCUCAGUCAGUAGAGCACCUGACUAGUGAUGCAGGGGUCCCGGGUUCGAUUUCCGGUCCUGCCAUACAUUUUCUCAUUUCCUGUUACAGAUUUGGUGCCGUUGACCACCCCUGGACUUGGAGGUGAAAGUCCUCCCAGGGACAAAUAAGAACUUGGGUUGCAUCUUCGAGGGCGAAGACAAUUUAAGGAGGGAGGAAUGUAAUGGUUCUGGCCGUGGAUAUCGGCCUGGGUAGCUCAGUCGGUAGAGCACCUGACUAGUGAUGCAGGGGUCCCGGGUUCGAUUCCCGGUCCAGCCAUACAUUUUCUCCUUUCCUGUUACAUAUAUAUAUAGAGACAAUUUCUUUUCCUUUUUUUCUUUUUUGGCAUCCUAUUUUAGGCCUACAGUAUUAAUUUUGGGCUCAUUUACUAGGAAUGUUAUAACUUUAUUGGAAUUGUCCCACUGAAUUAAAGGGAACUCUUUUUUCAGGUGCGCAUGAUGCAACUUCUGGAUGGUGUGUAGUCUGUUUGUCAACAUGUGAAACCCACGUGUAUUUUGAGGAGUAGCCUCCCCUGUUAAAGAUCAAUAAUGGUGGAUAAACAAUGCAGGAUGCUGUCAUGUCAUCAACAGAGAGUUUUGACACCCGUAUACCCGUAUUUCUACCAAUCACCUCUGUAACCUUUGUUGUGUUCAUCAGACAGAUGAUGGACCACUCUACUUCCUUUUACAACAGUCCGCGACAGGAAAAGGAAUGAAGUUGACAGGAUUUCCCGCACUGUCCUUGGUAGCAGCUUAUGAUAGAACGGACAGCAGUAGACAUAGCCCGCUUCAUCAAAGGUCUGCUGCAUGUUGGUAGCUGAUGCUGGUUCAAUAUUUGCGCCAAGAAGCAUACCACGCAUACCCUCUGUAGUAAGGCUGGUACCCAUGUGACCGACAGCCAUAGCCACAUUUAGCUGUGCAGCUCUGCGUCCCCUUCUGGAUCUCCCCACCUCUUCAUACAGCUUUUCACGGCGACUUGUAUAGUGGCACUUCUUACAUCGGAUGGAAAGGAUCCAUGCCAAGCCUCGUUUUUCCUCCCCAUGCUGGUUCCAGUCCAGUGAACCAUUACAGUCUGGAAACUUCUAGCUGCCUGGUCUUCUAAGAGAAACUCCAUUCUUUGAUGACUGAUGGAAAAGCCUCAUCACUCCCUACUGCUAAAGAACCACUUAUCUUAAUCACCAGCCAUUUAUCAGUGAUCACUGUUAUCAAAGCUCCAUGGUGCGCAUGAUGCAACUUUCUGGAUGUUUGUCAACAUGUGAAACCCACAUGUAUUUUGAGGUGCGACAGUAUGUCUCCAGGUUAAGUGAUUGUGUAGAUUGAUUCCCAGCAUAACGAUGAUUUGCCAAAAGAGCAUAUGAAUAGAAAAUUGGUGAUGCUUAAAAAUAUCAGCAGAAUACAGAAAUUAAGAGACACCGAUGGACAAAAACCCUCUAUCUAAUAUAAUUUACAUAUUAGGCCUAUACAACUAGAACAUGUAACAAGUGAAAUUUAAAUGUAUGCAUAUAUUUACUGUAAAUGUAUUAUAUUCAGCGUGUACGAUAUUUGGCGGAAAUUGAUUUUUGAACAAGUUAGCGUGAAUUUGAUUUAGCGAAUUCCUUUUUGUUUUUUUAUUUAUGUGUAGAGUGUAAGACAUUUAGCAUUGUAUUUGAAUGAGCGGGAAGUUGCUUUCCGCCAAAGGCGCUAAAAAGAAUACACAACCAAAUGUAAUACGUUUACAGUAUUAGAGCUGUUUUAAUGUAUACAAUUGUGUAUACAUGGUUGCUUGUUUGUUGACUCAGUGUAUAGAACAUGUACUACUAUAAUGUACAUCUUUCAUGUGUUAUUUCAAUGUGAUGUUGAAUCACAUUUAAAAUACAGCAAAGCUUUUACAGCUGAAUCCUGUUGUUUUUUUUUAAUUAUGUACAGUUUUGAUUCCCAACAGAUCAAAAAAUAAACAUAGAGAAUUCUUCA